AACGAACGCUGGCGGCAUGCCUAACACAUGCAAGUCGAACGAGACCUUCGGGUCUAGUGGCGCACGGGUGCGUAACGCGUGGGAAUCUGCCCUUGGGUUCGGAAUAACUCAGAGAAAUUUGAGCUAAUACCGGAUGAUGACGAAAGUCCAAAGAUUUAUCGCCCAAGGAUGAGCCCGCGUAAGAUUAGCUUGUUGGUGGGGUAAUGGCCCACCAAGGCGACGAUCUUUAGCUGGUCUGAGAGGAUGAUCAGCCACACUGGGACUGAGACACGGCCCAGACCCCUACGGGAGGCAGCAGUGGGGAAUAUUGGACAAUGGGCGAAAGCCUGAUCCAGCAAUGCCGCGUGAGUGAUGAAGGCCUUAGGGUUGUAAAGCUCUUUUACCAGGGAUGAUAAUGACAGUACCUGGAGAAUAAGCUCCGGCUAACUCCGUGCCAGCCGCCGCCGUAAGAC
rnacentral:rRNA from 1 species